UUGAACGCUGGCGGCAGGCUUAACACAUGCAAGUCGAGCGGAAACGAAGGUAGCUUGCUACCAGGCGUCGAGCGGCGGACGGGUGAGUAAUGCUUAGGAAUCUACCGAGUAGUGGGGGAUAGCCAUUGGAAACGAUGAUUAAUACCGCAUAUAUCCUACGGGGGAAAGCAGGGGACCUUCGGGCCUUGCGCUAUUCGAUGAGCCUGAGUGAGAUUAGCUAGUUGGUGGGGUAAAGGCCUACCAAGGCGACGAUCUCUAGCUGGUCUGAGAGGAUGAUCAGCCACACUGGGACUGAGACACGGCCCAGACUCCUACGGGAGGCAGCAGUGGGGAAUAUUGCACAAUGGACGAAAGUCUGAUGCAGCCAUGCCGCGUGUGUGAAGAAGGCCUUCGGGUUGUAAAGCACUUUCAGCGAGGAGGAAAGGUCAGUAAGUAAUAUUUGCUGGCUGUGACGUUACUCGCAGAAGAAGCACCGGCUAAUUUAGUGCCAGCAGCCGCGGUAAUACUAAAGGUGCAAGCGUUAAUCGGAAUUACUGGGCGUAAAGCGCGCGUAGGUGGUUUGUUAAGUUGGAUGUGAAAGCCCAGGGCUCAACCUUGGAACUGCAUUCAAAACUGACUCACUAGAGUACGAGAGAGGUUAGUGGAAUUUCCUGUGUAGCGGUGAAAUGCGUAGAGAUGGGAAGGAACACAGUGGCGAAGGCGACUGACUGGCUCGAUACUGACACUG
rnacentral:rRNA from 1 species